AAUUGCUGGUUAAACACCCUAAAGGCACCAAAUCCCAUCAUGCCUCGGAAGCUAAGCAAGGAAAGCCUUGGUUGGUACUUGGAUGGGAGACCACCAAGGCAUCCCAGCUGUUGUAGUGA
rfam:Anolis carolinensis unplaced genomic scaffold chrTn0538, whole genome shotgun sequence.